rnacentral:lncRNA from 1 species
AUGACAAAUUUACAAAUGUGUCUUUUUUUUUUUUUUACCAUGGUGCUUCUACUGCUCAAAUCUGCCCAGAACUCCAAAAAGGUUGAGGCUUUCAAUGAGAGAGGAGUAAUCCAUUUAUGCAGUUGUUUGGAGGCUGGAGGCCAAGCAUGUGGGAAAUAUUUCUUUGGGUUUGACCCAAGGAGCAGAUGCUUCUGGUGACACCAUUCUACAGAACUUCUGAGCUCAGGUAUUCUCUUGCCGAAGCCUCUGGAAUAACUGCUACUGCCCUCAGGACAGCCAAGGCUCCACAGUGAAACCCUGUCUUAAAAAACCAAACCAAACAAACAAAUAAAAUACUGAUUUUGGAGGAUGAUAGAUACA